CCUCAAAUACAAGACAAUUGAGAGCAUGUUAGACCAAACAAUAAAUAAACUUGAGACCGUUAUUGUUAAUUGAUGAGUGUUUUGAGUGUAUAAAUAUUAAAUCACGAAAAAGACUUCCAACUACAAUGUGUCUGGUUGCACUGCAUGUAUUAUUCUUGGACAUUUUAUUUGAAGCUUUGAACGUGGAGUGUUCUAGAUCAAGUAGACGAAAAUCAGUGAGAAUUAAUGUUGGAGAAUCAGACGAUUCCGUGGAAUUUGCUUGGUACUGGUAUUAAGUGAUCAUCGUCGGAGUUAUUGUCGUAAUCGCCAGCAUCAUCAUCAUUAUCAAGUGUCUUAAAUCUCGAGAAGAUAAUUAACAUUCCCGACCGCUCAGAAAGAGAUCUUUUGCGCUAGACUCAAACUUGCAAAAAUAUGUGAAUAUGUGUACUUAAGCAUUUGAUGAUUUGAAUUGCAUACUUUAAUAUUAACUUGUGUCUUACCAUGCCCAUUUUACAUUACCCGUUUCGGGAAUUUACGGUUGCAUAGAGGUGACCUUCACUCCUCUUUUUUUCAUUGCACUCCUCUUUUUUCUAUCUCGUGGCCUCGACUGAGUAACUCGAGGCAACGACUUACUAACUCGUGGCAACGAGUUAGCUUUGACGUGGCCUAAAGUUACUACGUCAAGGCCACGAGAUAGAAAAAAGAGGAGUGCAAUUUAAAAUGAGGAGUGAAUGACACCUCUAUGCCGCCGUAGGAAUUUGACUACAGUUUGUAUGUAUUGUUUUCAUUGUGCAUUUUUGCAUGUAUUAAUUUCGGGGUAAAUAUUGUUUAACGUUGUUUAGCUUCACUUCUGGUAACACGCACAUACUUUGUAAAUGUGAAUCACUUAUUUUUUGAAAAGACAAUAUAUAUAUAUAUAUAUAAUUUGAAUCACUUCAUUAAGCCAGAAACAAUAAUUAUCUGCUUCGGUGUGCAUGUGCUAUCACGACGAUUGCAGUGUAUCUCCUUUUUGUAGGGGAGAUAAUUUGUAUUGCUCUUUUUAAUUGGUCUAUACAGUGAUCUCCCAUAAGGCACACAAACGUUCAAAGACACAUUUGAUAAUUGAAAAUACUAAUAUUUUAUUAUCAUUAUGCGACUUAAUUAUGAGAAUACACGUUGACAAGAUGUACUCGCUUUUGCAUGAGCUGCGUUCUAUGAAAAAGGACAACUUAACAAAUCACUAACAUAAAAUAAAUGUGAAUUAAAAUUACGCAUCCCCUUUUGGGCGUGAAUUCUAUAAAAUUGUUAUCGCAAGCUCUGUUGAACUAUCUCCCUUCAAAUGGGGAUUUGGACGUGUUUUUAUUUAUAGUGAUAUGUAGAAAUUAACAUGUAACGUCUCCAUCGUUUUGUCAUAAAUAGGAUUUGGCAUAGAAUGAAAUAACAUCGCGGCUAGCUAAUAAAUGCAAGGUUAGGCUAGCAUUCAAACCGAUUUAAGUCCGUAUUUGGUUGAAAUAACGUUCCAAUGUGGUGACAACAGCUUUAGUCGUGUAACAGUAGGUGUCGGAGAAAAAAACUACUAUCCUAGUGAUAUUUCUUAAUUAUAUCAUAAUUUAAACGCAUGGGGUGUUAAGUCGGCCUUAAUUACAUUCGAUGAUAGUCCUGAAAGUCUUGGUGUUUAUGUAUUUUGUCUAGUUAAAACAAUCUAUUAUGCAAUAAUUUCUUUUUAAAUAAUUGCAUUCAUCUUUAAAUUGUUGUAAACGUAAAACUCCAAUGUAGUGGUCAUUAAGGUCCUAAAAUGAAGAGAACAUUUCUUACAUUGUAAAAUGUGUGUCUCCCUUACAUCGGUGCCAUGUGUAAAAAUAGCUGAAACUGUUCGACUGUUUUCUGUUGUUGUCUUGCAGUUACAGAUUAAAAUGAGGAGAAAAUGCAAGCUGAUUUACAAAAAAGACUGACUUUGGCAAAAAGUAUGAACACAGUUUUAGCAAAUAUUUGUAUUGUUUAACACCCGUUAAUAUGUUCCAGAAUAGGGCCUGCCAACAAAAUGUAUAUACUGUAUCUCUGAUUCAUGUAUAGACACGUAUACAUCUGGUAUUUUUGGUAAAGCAAUUUUACCCACUUAUUGUCCGAUUAUUUCAAAUAAUAUCAUCUUGCUUUCAAUAUUUAAUGUUAAUGAUGUUACAAUGAAAAGUAUAUUUGUUUCAGAGUUUGGAAUAUAUCAGUAUGAACAAAUGCAAAUUGUAUCUGUAAAGUAAAGUAUCAUGUAUGCAAUAACACACAGCUGAACAACACGUAGUUUAGGGCGUAGAAAACACAGGUUCUUCUGGCUGAACAUUUCUUCACGGUCAAUGAUUUUGGAAUGCUGAACUUUUAGAAGAUCCAUCUGUCGUAAGGAAUUUGACACCAUCGUGUCUUGAAGUGACAAUGAACGCUUCAGCAUGCAUGGAGUUUAUUUUUACUUGGUGUUUUUAUCGUAUGCGAUAGUGAGAGUAGUAAGGAGAGAAAGAGAGAGAGGCCGAAGUCCAUUUAAGUUAUAUUUCAAUGUAAAUGUUUAUUCAUGCAUUGUUUAAUUUCCUAGAUCAAGACGGCUUAUGCAUUUAUUUGCGCUAAUCAUAUUUUUUUAUAGGCCAGAAGCAGUCGUUUCAAAUAACUUUUGAAGCCGAAGGCUAAUAUUAUUGUAUAUUAAACAUGGCACUGGAAUGUUGCUUUGUAAACUUCAGUUCUAGUCAAACAUGAUAAAUAGUACGGGUUUAACAUGGCUAAAGACAUAUAAAACGAAAACUACUAAAAUGCAUAAAUAAACAAAGCACUAAAUAAAAUAAUAACAUGUUUUCGUUCUGUGGCAAUACCGUGGAUAUAUUCUCAGUAAAGUGAGACUUUGCGAAUUUGUACUUGUACAAGCGCUCGUAAAAAUAUUUAUGUCAACACUCAUACAUUAUUUUACUAAAUAACACCAAAACAAACAAAUAGAAUAUAUGCAUAGUUAAACUAUUCUUCCAAAUGGAUUGCUGACAUAAAAAAAAACUCAUUUUACAUGUACUAUGAAUUUCUUUUGUAUUUGUCAUGACAUGAACAGUAACAGUUAAACUGAUGGGAAACAGCAGAUACUGAACUAACUUCGCGUUCCCUAUUUAUGUUCAAAUAAAGUAAUGCAAAGAUUUAAAGUAUUCACGUUGUCAAUGUCUCUUUUCAUUCCACACAGUCAUCUUUUCUAAAUUCCCGGAAGUAAAUGAAAUAUUACACAUUAAUCUUCUACUUUGCAAGACAUCGCCGAAGCUGAGCGUUCAGACUGAUUACGUUAUUUUCCCAGACAACAUGUCUAGACCUCGAUAGUUUCGUAUUGAAUACAUCUGUUCAUUUUCUGGCACUUAACACUUCUUUUGUACCACGCCCAACACUGCUAUGGUUUGCUUACGUUCAGAUAUCUAAGUAUAAGUGUGUUAUCCGUUUAGUACAUAUAAUUUCAUAAAAAGUGAAGUAAACGCUAACGGGAAUAAUACCAUAUGCAAAAUAGUUUUUGAUUUGCAGGCGUAUAUUUUAAAGUGUAUGCAAAUAAUUUCACAUUUCGUUUGUUUGCGUGCGUUCAUUAAGUCUGUCUAUUUGUUAUGUUACGAUGUUGUUCAAAUGACUGAUAUGAUGUAGUUGACAAUCGAUACAAAACAAAUUUUAACUGACUUGAAGCUUCUUUCUCUUGUUUCAUACAAAUACGACACUAUGCUUUCUCGCUUGUUUUAUAUAUAUUUGGAUCGUUGAUUGAUCGGUUAUUUUAGCAGUUUACCUCUUGAUCCAAUAGCUACCCACUGUGUGUGGUCAAGUUCACAUUGGAUGGAGAGGACGCAAUAAGUCAAUGGAAACAUUUAUAAGUUUAUAAGUAUUAGAAUAUGCAUUAAGAUGCUUUGGUGAUGCGAUGCGUUCUUUUUAGACACCAUUAUUUUGAUGCAUUUCGUGCAUUAUCUGUUUUUAAUUCCAUGGUCCUAUGAUGAAAUAGCAUUGAUUUACAGCAUUUAACGUCAUACUAAUUAUUUAUAAAUACAGAUAUAAGAUACAUAGGCUAUUUGAUGCAAAAAAAGUAAGCGAUGAAAAUUCGCUGUAAUAAAUAAAAAACAAAUGGACGUUCGUUUGAAUGCUGUUGUUCUUUUUUCUGUUAAAAAAUCAAAUCUCGCUUAGUAUUCUUUUCUUUCAUUCACUUUUCAUGACAAUCAAUUUUCCAUACUUUGUUUUUGUUAUUUUUCUAAAACAUUUUAAUUCGUUGUGUAUGCGUUGAUCCGAUACGAAAAGGUAACCACAUGAAGUAUUCUUUGAGCUGUUUGGUUAACAAAAGUCCGCUUUUAAUUGUAACGUCUGUUUGAAGUUGUUAAAUUUAAUGAUUCAUGAUAGUGCAAUGACUUGUAAUAUGUAUUGCAAAAUUUAGAAACAUUUAAACAUUAUCUGUAAUGUACAGUUAACGUCAAAAGACAUUAUUGGCUGAUAUGAAGGUUGAAUGCUUAGACCGCCACACACGUUAAUUUGACGGUACAUCUAUUUAUUAUCACAUUUUGAAAUGAAGAAGAUCGUGUUAAUAAAAUCCAGCUGAUAAGCUUUUCUAAAACCGACUUGACUAUAACACCGACAUUCACAUAUUAUACCUAAAUACGUUUGGUCCCUUAGUAAAAUAUUUACAUUUGGGUAAUUUUAAUAUAUACGUUUAUUUCAAAAUGAAGACGAAUAUAAAAAAAGAAUUAAGCUAUUUUCAUGUUUCAAACGUAUUCUUUAAAAUAUAACAUACGUUAAAAACCCAAACAGAUUAAUGUUAACUCUUUGCUUGCAUAUUUAUCCACUGUGUCAAAUCACUCAAAUGCUCAUCAGAUGUGUCAUUCAGAGAGGGGCCAAUGGUGCCAAUAGUUCUGUUUAAGAUCUGUAUACGAUGUACAAAAAUAAUUCGAAAAGUACAAAAUGAUUUCUUUUGCUCUUGUUAAUCAUUUUUUCUGUUCAUUUUCCAAAGUUUGAAUUAAGUGUAGUAUUUGUUUUCCACGAAACAAACAAAUUAUGUACCAUUCGGCGGAUUUCCCGACUUCUUUUUGUUACUGAUUAUUUACUUGUAAUAUUUUUUUAAUACAAUUGAUUUUCAUACGUGCUUUUUCUUUGUGUUAAAUAAAUAAUCAAAACAA